GAUGAACGCUAGCGAUAGGCUUAACACAUGCAAGUCGAGGGGCAGCACAAGGUAGCUUGCUAUCUGGGUGGCCACCGGCGCACGGGUGCGUAACGCGUAUGCAACGUGCCCUAUACAGGAGGAUAACCCGUCGAAAGACUAACGCAUACUGCGUAUGCUCACAACUUGGCAUCCAGCGGAGAGGAAAGUAACUCGGUAUAGGAUAGGCAUGCGUCCCAUUAGCUUGUUGGUGAGGUAACGGCUCACCAAGGCAACGAUGGGUAGCGGAACUGAGAGGUUUAUCCCCCGCACUGGUACUACGACACGGACCAGAAUCCUACGGGAGGCAGGAGUAAGGAAUAUUAGGCAAUGGACGCGAGCCUGAACAUGCCAAGUCGCGUGAAGGAUGCCUGUCUUAUGGAUUGUAUACUUCUUUUGUACGGGAAUAACAAGUGUAACGCGUGACUCCCUGAAGGUACCAAAUGAAUAAGCAUCGGCUAACUCCGUG
rnacentral:rRNA from 1 species